AAAAAUAAAUAAAUAAAAAAAUCCAAAGGAAAACAGAAGGCGGUGGCGUGCCGGAGAAGCGGUGGCCGGUGGUGGGUUCGUCGGAAGUUUCACUUGUUUGGUUUUCUAACAAAUUGUAGAUUGGAGACUGAUAUAUAUUGGUAGUAGCAUGAGCUGUGGCAGAUGAUUAUUAGGUAAUGAUGAGCAUGAUAGUCUGGAAGUUGCUUUCAUGGACACGCCUGAAAAUAAGAAGCUAUCUGAGAUAGUUGACGUAGUAAAAUUAUGGAUGCCGAGAAAGACAGAGGCGCAGGUGAGUGUGUCCAGAGAUUUCUGGAUGCCCGACCAGAGCUGUAGG
rnacentral:misc_RNA from 1 species